AGAAGAGAGAGAACACAGGUAGAGGAGAAGAAGAGAGAGAAACACAGGUAGAGGAGAAGAGGAGAGAGAACACAGGUAGAGAAGAGAGAGAACACAGGUAGAGGAGAAGAAGAGAGAGAACACAGGUAGAGUAGAAGAAGAGAGAGAACACAGGUAGAGGACUGGAGGACAGAGAACAGGUAGAGGAGUGGAGGACAGAGAACAGUAGAGGAGUGGAGGACAGAGAACAGGUAGAGGACUGGAGGACAGAGAACAGGUAGAGGACUGGAGGACAGAGAACAGGUGGAGGAGUGGAGGACAGAGAACAGGUGGAGGAGUGGAGGACAGAGAACAGGUAGAGGAGUGGAGGACAGAGAACAGGUAGAGGACUGGAGGACAGAGAACAGGUAGAGGACUGGAGGACAGAGAACAGCUGGAGGAGUGGAGGACAGAGAACAGGUAGAGGACUGGAGGACAGAGAACAGGC
ensembl:lncRNA